rnacentral:rRNA from 1 species
UACGUAGGGUGCAAGCGUUAAUCGGAAUUACUGGGCGUAAAGCGUGCGCAGGCGGCUUUGCAAGACAGAUGUGAAAUCCCCGGGCUUAACCUGGGAACUGCAUUUGUGACUGCAUGGCUGGAGUGCGGCAGAGGGGGGGAUGGAAUUCCGCGUGUAGCAGUGAAAUGCGUAGAUAUGCGGAGGAACACCGAUGGCGAAGGCAAUCCCCUGGGCCUGCACUGACGCUCAUGCACGAAAGCGUGGGGAGCAAACAGG